rnacentral:rRNA from 1 species
UACGUAGGUGGCAAGCGUUGUCCGGAUUUACUGGGCGUAAAGAGCGCGCAGGCGGUCGUUCAAGUCGCGUGUGAAAGCCCCCGGCUCAACUGGGGAGGGUCACGCGAUACUGAUCGACUCGAAGGCAGGAGAGGGUAGUGGAAUUCCCGGUGUAGCGGUGAAAUGCGCAGAUAUUAGGAGGAACACCGGUGGCGAAGGCGCCACUCUGGGCCGAAACUGACGCUGAGGAGCGAAAGCGUGGGUAGCAAACAGG